rnacentral:lncRNA from 1 species
CAGGAGGGUGACCAGGGUUGUGACCAUAAUGUGGUGGCUUCUCUCCCUUAGGUGGUUUGCCAACUGGGGUUGGUGGCUUGUUUUCUGGGAGUGGCUUCUCUCCCUUGGGUGGUUUGCCAACUGGGGUUGGUGGCUUGUGUUCUGGGAGUGGCUUCUCCCCCUUGGGAGGUUUUUCGAAUGGGGUGGGUUUGUGUCCUGGUGGUGGCUUCUCUCCCUUGGGAGGUUUACCAAUUGGGGUCGGUGGCUUGUGUUCUGGGAGGGGCUUCUCUCCCUGGGGAGGUUUAGUGGGUGGCUUGUGUUCUGGAGGUGGCUUCUCCACCGGAGGCUUAUGCUCUGGUGGUGGCUUCUCGAAGGGGGGAUGCUCAGGGUAAUCACCAAGUGAGGGGGUGGUGAGAACCACCAUGCCAAGCAACAACACUAGCAAGUAUGUAGUAGACAUCUUUGGGUUUGGACUCAGACAGUGCAAAACUACGAGAAAUCGCUAGCCCUUUAUAGCGGCUCGGACCUAAUACUGACAUAAUAUAAAAUAAAUAUUAUAUUUUAUCAAGAGAGAACAGAGUGUAAUUUUAUCAUUAAUACCGAUCGAGGCCAAAGAAAGAAGACCCAUAAUCCAUUUCCCACAAGCAUACACAAUGCAGCUGUAAUUUUAUCAUUUACUUUUAUCCCUUGGACCACUGCAUUUUUGUUGAGAGACACAAUAACACAUUUUUAUCUGUCAUUCAACAUUUACAGUAAAGAGAGGGCACAAAACGCAAUUAGAUAAAUUAUGUUUUGCCUGCUAAAAAGAGGCAAAUAACUUUAUUUGCAACAUAAUUAUUUUGGUUUCUAGUGACCCCGGGGCCUUUCGGUUGGUUUGGGAUCGGAAAAUGAACAUCAUAGGGGGGGUUGUGCCCUUAUGGGCAUAUAUAUCUGAUAGCUUCAACUGGCCUUGUUCCUAGAAAGAAAUUGCCAAAGAUAUAAACUUAUUCCAGGCUGAAAGUAGAUGAGAGUCAUAAUGAACAUCAACCUUUGUUCAGUUUGAUUCAAUGCCCCCAUAGUGUUCAUUUCACAGAUCUGAAUGAUUAUAUCCGUUGAAUACAUAAAUUAAUGAAGACAAAUAUGAAACCCAAGAUACAUCUCUGCAUAACAACCCCAACCCUGGUUGCUAUGUUUCCCUUCUUCUAUUCACAUGAGGAUACUGGUUAUAAUUGUCAAACUUGCAACAAGCCCUUUGACACCUAACGUCAAUGGACGAAUUAAAAGUCUCCUUCAAACGUCUAUUUCACAGCAUGAAGCUUAUAAAGGAUGCUGACAACCUUCAGAGUUAGCGACAAAAGAUAAUUAUCAAGGAGAGAUAGUUCCAUGAGAAUUCCAAGGAGUCUGAAUCAAAGACAAAUUGCUCACUCAAGGGUUCUUAUUUUCUUUUAGGUACAAAUCUCUUGAGUGUUGUUAAAGAAACACGUCACUGUCAUUUUGAUUUGCAUUUAACAUUUCACUUUUGUUCUGGAAGGUUUGUUCCGGAAACAUAUCAAAUGAGCAUCAUUUUCUUCUUCGGUGACACAUGGUCGCGAGUACGUGGGUCCAUUUUCAUGCCACUUAGUUGAAAAGUUGGAAAGAAAAAACAUGCCAACAAGAAGAUAGUGAGAGAAGGGGCACUUCAAGCCUUUAACAUGAACAAACAGUAAAUAAAAGAUGUUUCUCCACUCAUAAAAGUGUGUUAGAUAGCAAUAUAACGAAUCACAUCCAAAAUCUUUACUAGGCUCAAACAUAAAGAAGACUCAUUUUUAAGAAAAGAUAAAAAUGGCAUUGUCUGAUAGUAUCCAAUACACGAGAUGGCACUUAAUUUGUACAAGAUCUGUCAAUGCUGACGCACAUUUUCUGAUUAAAAAAAAACUGAUCAGUCAAAAGCAAUGAAGAGAAGUGAUGACAAUGAAUGAUGCUUCCAAUAUUUUCACCCCUUAUAGUGUUCUUCAUGAUUCAGAUAUAUAAUUGGAAAUAGAACAACCCUAUGCCAUACAUUCGUCUAAGUAUGGUGUCUAAUUUUUUGUGUCAGCGGUUGCGAAUGGAGCGUGCAAAAGUCCAAAUUGGCGUCUCUCCAUUUCCACAUAGGAAGGUGACCUUUAUUGACAAAUACCCAAUAUUUGUAGACAUUCCUUAAAUAUCAUAACUUCUUGUUGAUUUGAAAAUCAUUUUUCAACUACCAUGUUUUAAUAAAUAUUUUUUAAAAUGUAUUUUUAUCAAAGUCCACCAUGAUGGAUAAUAUUCACCAUGCAAUAAUUAAUAAAGUACAAACUAAGCGAAAUGAAAAGCAUUUUCUUUGCUUUGAGUUGAUUUUGGUUGCAUUGAGUUGAUUUUGGUUUCAUGGUUUUUUCAACUCUUAUUUUGAUUGGAAGAUGUCAAGAAAAGAAAACAUAAAGAAAAAUUAAAAGGGAAAAAAGAAGAAAAAUAAAAAAAAAUAGAUUUAAAAGUUAAUAAAUUAUUUUUUAUAUUUAUUUUAAUUCAUUUCACUUAUUUUUCUUUUACUAUAUAAAAUUUAAAUAAUUUAAAUUUUAUAAUUAAUUUAAUUACAUUUCAUUUUCUUCUAUAUUUAAAUAUUGGAAAAAUAUUUUACUUAAUAUUUUUUUCUUUAAUUUCUUUGGCAUUUUGGGAACCAAACUUAGCCUUUAAAAUAAAAAACAAAAAAAAAAUGAAAAUAAGGAGGGAAAAGUGAGAAAAGAUAAAAACAAUAUGUAAAGGAUUUGAAAAGUAUUAGUUUGUAAUUACUAUUUGGAUUUCAAUAGUAUUUUAUUUGUCUUUCUAUAUUUCAUGUAAGAGAGAAUUUAAGAUAUUCCCCAAGGCAAAGCAUUAGUUACCUGCAAUCAGUGGUGAUAAGGCUCCAAGCCAAUUUUGGGCCCCAUAUCUUAAGACAGUACAAUUUCCAUUUCAACAUUUCUGAUUUCUCAGAUGUUUCACAUACCACAGAAGAACAUUGUUUGUGAAAAUAUGCAUUUAUGUUGGAUUUUGUAUGCUGUGGGGACUGGGGCAAGGAUCAUAUGGAAGAGUGGUUGACUUUUUCUGUACUUUAACGGUUGAAAUAGGAUAAGCACGGGCAUUUGUGAGGCUUAAUUGAUUUUGAAGCCUGAAAUUGCGUUUCUGUCAUUUUGUCAAAAAAAUGGCAGAUUCCAUACUCAUAUGUUUGGCCUGUGGCCAUGUACAGAUGCCAUUUAGUGACCAGUUUGUAACUGUCAAUCGUUGCGUUUUGACUCUGCCUCAACAACAUCUGCCAUUGACGGGUUUUCAUACUUGCAAAUCAAAUAGUCUUUCGUCCCAUCAGGAAUUUCGGUUUAAAUAUUAUUAAGCAUACGUUUGGCUGACAAUCAUUAUCCAGUUCAUGAUUUGGUUUCUUACCCUUAAUCAAUGGUUUCUAAGUGAAUAUAUGUAGAAGGAAAUCCGAAGUGUAGACAGUAGUAUCGAUAACUCUCAAUAUUCUCUAUAUAAUAGAAUAAACAGCGUCAUAGUGAUCGUCGCCUACAAGCAAGGUACAAAUACCAAAACGAGUGACUCACAUAGACAUCUCCCAACAAGAUGUAGUAGUGACUGACACAUGGACACAAUUAACUCGUAGAAAAGGAUAAGACCAUUGCACAGCAGCUCUUAUUUUACAUACUACUUAUGCUAACCAAAGUCAAUUAGUUGGGAUGGGUGGGAGAUGGAGGUUUGUGCGGUGGCUUGUGGGGCGGAGUUGAUGGCUUCUUUCCAGGAGCUUCUGGCUUUUUCAUCGGAGCUGAAGGAGGCUCAAUCUUAUGAGGCGGCUUGUAUGAGUCUUCUUUACUCUCGACAGGAGGGUGGCCAGGGUUGUGAUCAUAAUGUGGUGGCUUCUCUCCCUUAGGUGGCUUGCCAACUGGGGUUGGUGGCUUGUGUUCAGGAAGUGGUUUCUCUCCCAUGGGAGGUUUAGCAAUUGGGGUUGGUGGCUUGUGUUCUGGGAGUGGCUUCUCUCCCUUGGGAGGUUUAGUAGGUGACUUGUGUUCUGGAGGUGGCUUCUCCACCGGAGGCUUGUGCUCCGGUGGUGGCUUCUUGGUUGGAGGGGGCUUGGGGUAAUCAGCAAGAGAUGGGGUGGUGAGAACCACCAGUCCAAGGAACAACACUAGCAAGUAUGUGGGAGACAUUUUUGAGUUUGGGCUGAUCAGAUGAUGCAAAACUAAAGCAUUACGUGACCUUUUAUAGCAUGUAGCUCCCAAUACCCACUAAGUAUUGUGGGGUCCAUUUGUGCCCUACGGGGUUGAAAACUUAGACAAUUGGGCAAGGACCCACCUGACUAUGGAGGACUAGUGAGGUGUGAUCAUAGCUUUAGGAUUUUUCUUCCUCUGCAGCCGUCGUGCCGUUGGCAUGAUUUUCUUAAUCUUAAAUAAAGGCAUAGUUAUAGAGUUGUUUAAUCUCUAAAUGGGAUUUUAUAUAUAUCUUCAGAUAGCCAUUAAUAUAUUUGAUGAAGAAAGAAAGACAAGUGCAUACAACAUGUAUACGACUAGCUUUCAUGGAGUUCAUUUAUGAUCAGUUUUCCUGUACAUGUAAACCAGGAUCAUAUAUAUGUUUCUGUUCCACAACUAUUUUGGAAUCUUGUUUAUCAGUUUUUAUCAUUAUAAUGUCACAUAGGCUGCCAACUUGGGCGCUAAAAGAACCAGUUGGGCUAGUUCGUUUCAGAAUUUCAAUGUGGAUUCAGGAAUUGUUUUGUAAGAUAUGCGAAAUAGUAGAGGGAUGAAUAGUGUUUCAUUAAUAAAAGUGUCCUGUAAAUUAGAAGGUGUCAUAGAAACUAUAAUCAAUAAAUAACUUUUUUUCCCCACGGGUGGUGUUUCUUGUGGGGAUCAGUGACUGGUUUAGGUUCACCCAAAAUGAGUUCAGACUAAAAUUGGUUUGAGUCAAUGCCGUGUCUCUUUUUUCCAGAAAUCAACUAUUUUAUGCAUUGAAUAAAUCAUACAAAGAAAAUAUGAACGCCCGCAAAACCUAAACCCUGGUUGCUAACUUUCUAUGUUUCAGUUCUAUUCACGCAAGAAUAUUAGUUUAAGUUUGGGAAAAAUGGCAACUUACCUAGUGAUUACUUGGUUUUGGUUUGCGACUAUUUACGCAACCAACCAUGAGUUUGACUUUAACGUCAUGGGUUGAAGCCUCCUACAGGAAGGGAGAAAGCUCCACAGCUAGCUCCAAAAGAGAAUUAUCACAUUGAUAGCUCCAGAGAUUCCCAAGGGGACUGAAUCAAAGACAAGUUCCUCACUUUUUCUUCUUUUGAGGCCAAAUAUGAACCAAGGAUCACACAACCUCAUUCAACUUCAUAAGUUUGAUUUCAUGCAGUUGAACACUGGGUGAAGGCCAUGACAAGAAUUGAUUCAAAAAUUCUAUCACUCUUUUAAGUAAUGGAAGAUUAUUAUCUCUGAUUGGCAUCACAACAGCACAUGCUCCUAGAUCUUUCUAGACACUCCAUGCAAUGAAAGCACAAUGGAUCUUGUAACGAUAGAAACUAAGCCAUGCUACAGUACUAGAUGAUGAGGUAAAACUAGUAGACACGGGUGGCAGCCUAUAUGGGAGGGACACAAGUCUAAUUGAUUUGCAUUUCAGCAUUAUAGAUAGGUAUGUUUUGGAAGAUUUGUUCUGGAAAUACCGCACCAAGUAGGAUUCUUUUUCUCUUUAGUGGGUCCACUUGCAUGCCAAUUAACGAGUUGAAAAGUAUGAGCACCUACCUCGUGCUCGUGGAACCGAAGGUCAGUGAAGUGGGGCUCCUUUUGGCCUCGUGUAAACUUGAUUCAGAAGUGAAGUUAAUAGUCUUCCAUUCAGAUGGAUACAUGGGAAUUUUUCUCUUUUAUUUAUUUAUUUAUUUUUUUUUUGUGUGUGUAUGUCAAAGGAUAAUGAAUGAAGCGCGUUAGCUUGUUUUCUGACUGGAACCGCAGAUGUCCAAAUUGGAGUUCCUUCAUUUCUUACUUAGGAUUGUUACAUGUAUAAACAAGGUAUAAGAAAUAUGCCAACGUGUCUUGAGGAGUUAUUGAUUAGAAAUAACAAGUCACCCGACUGUAGAGUUCCAAGAUUUGAAUCUUCAGACCCUAUAGCAGCCUCUGGGGUACGUGGCAUCCUAUAGCAUAUUAAUGAAGGCUUUUUCGAUUUAGACUUCACAAUACCAAUUAAUAUGUAUGCACAAAAUGGAGAUGACCCCAAAAAAAACAGAAUCGCCAUAGUUUAUGAGGUUAAGGUGAUUCUCCACUUAAUAUCUACAUUAGCUAAUUAUGUAAAUCAAAUGAACUUCUAUUUUUCCUUUUUUUUUUUGGUUUAUGUCAAAUAGUAGCCCAUAAUUAACCCAACCAUUAGCCUGUUUGAAUUGAUUUCACAUGCACAAUGUUGUAGUAGUUCAUAUUUUGAAUUUUAUUUUUACAAAGGUAGUUAAGGAAAAUGAAGUAUAAUAAUUAUAAAAGCAGACUAUAUACACUACAAUAAUUGUUAGAAUGGUAUCUCAAAUUCUAAUUUAAAAUAUUAUUUUUUGUAAAAGAAAUAUUAUAUAGAAUAUUUCCUAAUUUUAUAAAUGAUUAUAAUUAGAUCUUUAUAAAAUAAGGAAAGUUGGUAAGAAUAUCUUUAUAAAUAUUUUAGGUCAUGAGAGAAAGAAAUGGGAUAAAAAUGUGAUGAAGAGGUGAAAUAAGAGAGUUGAUUAGGAUAUAGAUGUGAAGAAGAAAGGGAUUCAAUAUAUAUAUAUCUUUCAAUUACCACAUUAAAACCCUGUGAACCUUUUAUAUGGUUUACUUUAUUUUUAUAUUCCUCCUUUAAUAUAUUUACAUUAAUGCUUCCAUUGGCACAACAAUAACGAAUUACAAAUACAAGCAACAAGUCCCAUGUUUUAUUACCAAAAGCAGGUAAAAUCCACCUAAUAUAUUACAAUAUAUUCAUCCAAUAUUUUAGACCAAUUCUUCACCAUAAAUAUCAUAAUGUGGCUUUUGUUCUUUCUUAAAUUUAAAUUGAAUUGUCUUAUAUCAAUUUGUUUGUGAUUUUUUCAUUAACUUCACUUUCAUUUGGUUAUCUUUGGUUUUUGAAAAGUAUUAAGGAAUUAAUUAACAAAAUAAUGUUAAGAAAAAUAAUUUUCUCUCUUUUGAUUUUGAUUUUGUAGUAGAAAAAUAUAAUUAAAAUUAUUUAAAAAGUAUGUAAUUUUAAAUUAUUUAAUAUUUAGAUAAAAAAAAUAAGUCUAAUGAGUUUAAAAUAACAUAUAAAAAUAAUUUAUUUAUUUUAAAUUUAUUUUUUAUUUUCCAUUAUGUUCUCUUUCUCUUUUACUUUUUCAUAUUUUUUCUUACGAAGAAUCAAACACAACCUCAUAUUAUAUGUCAAGUGUUUGUCUAUAUUUGAGCAAUGUUAGAUACGGCCAUGGAUUCAUCAAACUAAACUGAUUUUAAUAGAUACUUCACAAAUUGAUUUAUACACUAAAUCAUUGGAUAGCAAUGAUGCAUUGGAAUUAAACGUAGGAUGAAGCUCGAAGAACACUGUUUGUGUAACAACAUAUUUAUGAAAUUAUGCAAAGGAUGAGCUUCGGGGUAGUAGUACAAGGUCAUUAAUGGAGAGCCGUGUUAAACCUUGAUUGUGAUUGGAUUCCGUUAUCAGCAACAGCAACCUUGUUUGUAACCUUGAAAGUCAUUCUGUCCACAUCGAAACUCCAAUUUGACGUUUGUAAUUACCAUUCCUGGAGUGUUCCUUGAUUGAAAUUUAAAUAAUAAUUGCGGCCCACAAGGAAUAUUUUCGAUUCUGUGGGAAUUUGACAAGGUUUGUUAGAGAAGACUGGUGACAUGUUGACUUCAAUGGUUCAAAUAGGAGACGUAUGUGGAUUUGGGGGGUUUAAUUGAAACUGAGUCCCUAUGGCUUUUUAAUAUUUGCAUUGAGCAGUCUCCAUGUGACUUCCUAAUUCCCACCAACCCUCCUGUCCAUGCUGUGAAACUAAAUUGUAAUUUAUCAGCCUUUGUCAAUGGUUUCUAAAUUAAAGAUAUAGACCAUGCAUGUACUUUAAUAAAAGCAAAUCUAAAGUGUAGAUAGCAGCAAUGGUGACACCCAAUAUUCUCCAUAAAAUAGAAUUAGAAUAAGCAGUGUUACAUUGUUCAUGAUCACCUACAAGCAUACAAGAACUUCCAUGAAUAACUCAUAGCAAUUGCCAACAGGGCGUCGUAGAGACUCAUACAUAGAACACUAUCCACCCAGAGGAAAGGACAAGACCAGUGCGCUGCAGCUCUUAUUUUUCACAUGUAUACCACCACUCGUAAUAACCAAAUUCACUCAGUUGGGAUAGGUGGGAGAUGGUGGUUUGUGGGGUGGCUUGUGGGGAGGAGUUGGAGGAGGCUUUAUUUUCUGAGGCGGCUUGUAUGAGUGUGCAGGAGGAUGCCCGGGAGUGUGACCAUAAUGUGGUGGCUUCUCUCCCGUAGGUGGUUUGCCAAAUGGGCUUGGUGGCUUCUCUCCCUUAGGAGGUUUACCAAUUGGGGUUGGUGGCUUGUGUUCUGGGAGUGGUUUCUCUCCCUUGGUAGGUUUGCCAAUUGGGGUUGGCGGCUUAUGUUCUGGGAGUGGCUUCUCUCCCUUGGGAGGUUUGCUAAUUGGGGUUGGCGGCUUAUGUUCUGGGGGCGGCUUCUCUCCCUUGGGAGGUUUGCCAAUUGGAGUUGGCGGCUUAUGUUCUGGGAGUGGCUUUUCUCCCUUGGGAGGCUUGCCAAUUGGGGUUGGCGGCUUAUGUUCUGGGGGUGGCUUCUCUCCUUUAGGAGGUUUGCCAAUUGGAGUCGGCGGCUUAUGUUCUGGAAGUGGCUUUUUUCCCUUGGGAGGUUUGCCAAUUGGGGUUGGCGGCUUAUGUUCUGGGGGUGGCUUCUCUCCCUUGGGAGGUUUGCCAAUUGGAGUCGGCGGCUUAUGUUCUGGGAGUGGCUUCUCUCCCUUGGGAGGUUUUGUUGGUGGCUUGUGUUCUGGAGAUGGCUUCUCCCCUGGAGGCUUGUGCUCCGGAGGUGGCUUCUGAAAUGGCGGGGGCUUGGGGUAAUGAGCAAGAGAUGGAGUACUGGUGAGAACCACCAUUCCAAGCAACAAUACUAGCAAGCAUGUGGGAGACAUCUUUGAGUAGUUGUAGCUAAGAUGGCGCAACACUGUAGGCAUUGGGUGGCCUUUUAUAAAGGGCUGGACCCAACAGCCAUAUGACACGUGUCAUGAUGACAAAUGAAGUUGAGGGGAUCCAGAUGGGUCCUACUGAGUCGAAAACUUGCACUAAUUGAUCUGGUGAGAUGACUAUUUCUGUCCUUUUGCCCUUCUCGGCCACCCUGUGCUGUUUUCCUUUUGCACGAUUUUCGUUGCCAAACAAGCAAAUAAUAUUUCGCCAAGAAAGAGGAGAGUGAAUGUGGAAUGCAUCAAGUCCCAUCAAGGAUGGCAGAGAAGAAAUAGAAGAUUGCCCAACUGUGAUAAACAUAGCAUACACGUAGCACCAGGAACUUCAUUUACUUCCAUCUAAUGGAACAUAACAAUCUUCUAAAGUUUUUGCAUGAUUUUGUUAUAUGUCUCUUAGCCUAAAGUUGGAAAUGCGCAACAAAUUUUGUCACUUCUCUAUUUCCCACUGAUGAUGUUAAUUAGCCUUCAUAGAUAUCAUCCUUUCUACAAAGUGCUUCAUUUGUGUGUUAUUGUAAAGUGUAAGAAAAGUAAUUGAACAUGUUCUUUUUCCUUUCAUAGAUGACUUUUGAUGUGCAUUUUAAAAGCAGCGCUGUGAGUCGGUGACCUUGAUUCACACGGAAACUAAGGCUCCUAUAGGACCCACUUUUAGCUGGUUAGGGGUGAAGAAAAUAUCAACUUUUCAGAGUGAUUUAAGUCAAGGCCAAGCCUCACUGUGUCAUUACUCGUGUGAAUUUUAUAUGCACAUACAUACAUAAAUAAAGUAUGAGACCCAAAUAACACCUUCCCUUUACAAACUUAACCCCAGCCGCUCUCUUUCAAUUCUUUUCACACAAGGGUAUUGACUCUAUAAAGGUCAAGAAAAUCAUAAUUUCCUAGGGUUUACAAGGUAAUUGGCUUAAUGCUAAUGUGAAAACAUAAAAGAUAAUAGUAUAUUGUAAGCUAACGAAUAUUCUAUAGUUAUAAUUAUUUGUGAUGUGCAUAAAUAAAUCUUCAUAUAUAUAAUGGAACAAUGAAUAAAGAACCAAUGAAAAAAUACUAUAUAUCAUUGCUUGGCAUUUAAACCGUAUAUGCUGCUCUUUCUAGCUACUCCAUCCACUGAAAGACAACAAGGUAAUCCAUGUUAUAAUGAUAGAAGAUACUGUCUCUAGGCUUUUUGUGAUGAAAAAUAUAAGAUAUGGGUAGGGUUGACCCUUGUAUGUUUGUCCUAUAAACACUUCAAAGUAACAUAUUUUUCUUCUUUAGCAACUCAUAAUGAUGGGGUUCAUUUGCAUGUCACUGAGUUGAAAAGUUGGACAAUUGCCCAUGUCGCCUUCCUCCUAGAUUCCGUAGUUCACGGGAAGGUAACUCAAGUUUGACAUAUUUUGAAUUCUUUUCACUCGGACGUCUUCAUAACCUGACAAAACAAAAAUGAAAAACAGAGGAUUGGUAUAUUAUUCAUGGUAAGCCUCAAAUUAUAGUAGUAUGAGAAAGGAGAAAAAGAUUUUGGGAACUCCAAUCUGGAUAAUUCUCGUUUCUUCUCUUGAAUAAAAAUUUCACUUACCUAACUUCGUUUGGAGAAAUGGCAUAUUUUAAUUUUGUACGUCAUUGCUAAUAAAUGGAGCAAUUUAGCAUGUUUUGUGACUGAAACUGCAAAUGUCCAAUUGGCAUUUCUUCAUUUCCCACUUAGGAUCUGAUCUUGUAGACCAUAUAACGAUAUGUAUCUGUGCAAGCAUUGAAAACUAAUGUGAACUAUGAGGAGUUACAAGCCACUGGACUGUAGAGCGAGUGCCAAGAUUUAAAUCUUCAGGCUCUAUCUGGGUAAGGGGAGGAUAGCGACCUAACCUUUUACCAAAGGCUUAGAAUUUAGACUUUUGGAAAAAAAUUUCUCAUGUUUUGGCUGGAUUUCUUGUGCUUGGCGCAAAAAGGAGAUGGCCUCAAGAAAUAGCAGACUCACUUUUGUUUUCAGCCCUUAAUAAUUCUCCACUGCUUUCCAUAACUACAUGGGUUAUACAUGCAGUCUGCUGCAAUAUUCCAGUUAUAUUUAUUAUUUCAAAGAGGGUGAAUGACUUCACAUGCAAUAUGUUGCAGUAACAACCCAAAUUUUGGCACACCAUCUUAAGAAUAGAAAAGUAUAAUAAAAGAAAUCAAUCAGAGAAUCACUUUGCAUGCAGUUCAUAGAGUUCGCCCAAAAUGGAGCCACAUGUACGGACAACCCCACAAUAGACAAUCUUCUCUAUACAGUAAUAAAAUACAGAAAUGGUUAAUGAAGCUCUGUAUUUCCUUAUCAUAUAUGACCGGUUGAAAACUCAGCAAGUCUUCCUCAAUCACAGACAGUUGGAGUUGCUUCAUCAAAAUCAUGCCUUCAUUACUGGCUUCAUUUUGGUUUCAAUGUCUGUUCUACCCUUAAAUUGGGUCUCUGCUUACUACCGGGAUAUCCUUUAGCGUCCUGCAAUUCUACUAGAUUAAAGAGAAUGACUUAAUUCUGCAUUCUGCCGUCCCUAGUCCAAGUGGUACUAGAAUUGAUGUUUCCUUUAGUGUCCUUUCUUCAUACUUUCAGGUUCUUCCCUUGUUUCAAUAAUGCUGUUUUCCUUCAUGUUUAACCUCUGUUGAACCACUUAAAACAACACAAUUUGCACACCAAUGUUUCUUUACAGAAAAGACUGUUUGCAAAAAUGCACAUGUUAUAAGGUUAAUGGAAGAAUUAAUUUGGGGAUAAGGGACUAGGAUUGGGCCAAUGAAGUUUGGUGUUAAAUUUUGAUUAUGAUUGCUUUUCAUUAUCAGGUACCUUAUAUUUGCUGAUGCUAUCUGGAACUAAAUUCAAAUCAGACAUUAUCCGAUUACUAACAGGACAUAUCAUGUCCCUCUGCAGAGUUUCUAAACUAACAUGUAUCGAAAUGUGGCCCCAAAAGGAAGGCUAGGAAGAUGGAGGAUUUUGUAGGAAUCGACCAGAAUCAGAUGGAAGAGAGAUAGUCCUGUUGACUUUAAUGGUUGUGAUAGGAACAUGCAUCAUUAUAUGAGAAGUUGCAUGAAUUUAUGUAUCCUGUUAUCGUUCCUUGACGAUUUCCCAAUGCAAUUUCACUGUCCACAAGACUAACCUCUCCAUGCAGUCAAAUGAAUUGUAAUUUCUCUAUUGGUACCAGUAGUACAUUUCAUACCAAACAUAUAGUAAAUAUAAAAUAUAAAUAGAUCAAGGAAAUCUGAAUUGUAGAUAGCACUGCAAGUAACACUCAAUAUUCUCUAUAUAUAAUAAAAUAAACAGUGUCACAAUACUCAUCACCCAGUGGCAAGGGAGAAAAACCUACAAUGAGUACUCAAAUCACCAUUCUCAAACAGAAACAUAGCAGUGACUGAUACAUAGAACCUAUAUGCUCACAGGGAAAGAAUAAGAUGACCAGUGCACAGCGGGCAGCAGCUCUUAUUUUACGUACAACUCAAAUCCCAAACUAACCAAAGUCGCUCAGUUGGGAUGGGUGGGAGAUGGUGGUUUGUGGGAUGGCUUCUGGGUAGGAGCUGGUGGCUUCUGUCCCUUUGGUGGUUUGCCUAAUGAGCUUGGUGGCUUGUGCUCCGGGAGUUGUUUCUCUCCCUCGAGUAGGUUUCGAGUCUUGUCAGAUGGCUUGUGUUCUGGUGGUGGCUUCUCUCCCUGGGGUGGUUUGCCGAAUGGGCUUGGUGGCUUGUGUUCGGGGAGUGGCUUCUCUCCCUGGAGAAGGUUACGAGUUUUGUCAUAUGGCUUUUGUUCUGGUGGUGGCUUCUCUCCCUGGGGUGGUUUGCCGAAUGGGCUUGGUGGCUUGUGUUCGGGGAGUGGCUUCUCUCCCUGGAGAAGGUUACGAGUUUUGUCAGAUGGCUUGUGUUCUGGUGGUGGCUUCUCUCCCUGGGGUGGUUUGCCGAAUGGGCUUGGUGGCUUGUGUUCGGGGAGUGGCUUCUCUCCCUGGAGAAGGUUACGAGUUUUGUCAGAUGGCUUUUGUUCUGGUGGCGGCUUCUCUCCCUGGGGUGGUUUGCCAAAUGGGCUUGGUGGCUUGUGUUCGGGAACUGGCUUCUCUCCCUUGGGAGGUUCAGUUGGUGGCUGCUGUUCCGUAGGUGGUUUCUUCACCGGCGGCUUGUGCUCCGGAAGCGGCUUCUCUACCUGGAGAAGCUUACGAGUUUUGUCCGAUGGCUUGUGUUGUGGUGGUGGCUUCUCUCCCUGGGGUGGUUUGCCAAAUGGAGUUGGUGGCUUGUGUUCGGGGAGUGGCUUCUCUCCAUUGGGAGGUUUAGUUGGUGAUUGGUGUUCCGUAGGUGGUUUCUGAAGUGGGGGAUGCUUGGGGUAGUCAGCAAGAGACGAGGUAGUGAGAACCACCAGUCCCAGCAGCAACACUAGCAAGCAUGUGGAAGACAUCUUUGAGUUCAGGCUGAGAUCUGUGCAAGGAUAACAGAAUUAGGUGGCCUUUUAUAGAGGCCUGGACCCAACACCCAUAUGACACGUGUCAUGCACUCAUGGUGACACAUAAUUCUAUGGGACCAUUUGGGUCCUACAGAAGUUGCAAAGUUGGACUACUGAGGUGUGAUCACAACUUUUGUCCUUAUUGCUUUCUCUGCGGCCAUUGCACGAUUUCCUUUAGCAUCAUUUUCUUGGCUAAAUAAGCGUAUUAUAUUUGUGGCAGACCGUCCACGUGUCAUAAACAGAUAUAUUAUAAUAAUGUAGUAUGCUUUUCUCCAAUGGAACAUGACACUCUUCUAAGUCUUGUUUUAAAUAUUGUGCAGGAUUACUUUAUACGUUGCAGUUCCAAGUCAAAAUUGGUGGGCAAACGUUGGCCUUUUUUCAUUUCACCUAAGAUUAAUGCUCACCUGGGAUAGGCACUACAUGACUUAUCUGCUCUUUUACUGUAAAGUUGCUUUGUGUAUGAGAUACACCUCCCCUGCACACCCUCAACAUUCGUUGCUCUGUUUUCCUUGUGUCCAGACGAGGAUAUUAAUUGGAGGCUGACAAAACGACUGCUAGCCCAGGAUUUACAAGGUCCUGGUUUGAGGCUUCGGUGAAAGUAUUUUUGAAAAGACACACAUAGAGAUAGUGCGUUUGGUGCAAUGCAGCACUGUGAGCCAUUCUGACGCGUUCUUAAUUUCAAAACUAAUGAAUGCUUCAAAAUUUUAAGAAGUGACAUUUCCAAAUAUUUGAGUUCGUUUAAUUGAACAUUGGAUAACUAGUGAUCAUAGAUUAUUAUCUGUGCUUGGCACUAUAAGAGGGUAUAUGCUUCUUUUUCUGGCCCCUCCUUCAAGGGAGGAGGGACAAUGUGAUCUGUAACGUUAGAAGCUAUUCCAUGUCAUCUUUGGGCUCAGUUCAAAACUAAAAGAUAAUGGGGGGGGGGGGGGGGGGCAUAUCAUUUUAUAUUUCUUCUAGAAGGUUUGUUCUGGAAAUAUUUCACAGGAGCAUAUCUUUUUCUUCUAUUACGUCAUCCGCAGCCUCCAAUAGGUCGGUUAACAAGCCACCGAGUUGAAAAGUUGGAAAAAUGGGAACACAGCCCGCCUCUUGUAUUCAGUAGUUAAAUAAAAGGUCACUAGAAGUGAGAUCCCUUUUGGCGUCUUGAUUUUCAAUCCAGCACCUCUGUGACCUGACAAACCAAAAAAACUAAAAAAUAAAAAACAGUACGUGGGUUGGUGUUAAGCAUCAAGACAUGUUAAUGAAAGAAGGUAGAGAAUAGGAUAUUGAAAUCCCAAUCCUGAUAACAUGAUUUUCUUUGCUAACAACCAUAUUAUAUUUUAUCAAGAAAGAGUAAUGCAUGUGGCGUCCAUCAAGACCCAUUAGAGUUCCGCUAAAGCUAUAGUUCUGUCAACGUUAUCAUUUACGUUUCCUCUAGAUAAUGGCAUUUUCCUCUAAAGCUCUUGCACCAUUAGGCUUCAAGUCAAAAUUUCACAUGUGAACUUUGGAAAUUUUCUCCAUUUGCCCCUAAGGAUACAGUUAGAAUUGACUUAAAAUCCUGAUUGAUAUGUACUAUUAACCAAAGAAUAUUGUAUAUAAUAAUUGAAAUAUUGUUGAUUCAUCGUGGAAAUACAUUUUGUAAGGAAAGUUGUUGAGAAUUUAGUAUGCUAUAUGGAGAAAAAAGUCAUGACUUAAGGUUGUGUAUGUAUAUUCUAUAUCAAAUAUUAGGUAGGAAUGUGGGAAAGAGCAGAGUGUAAUGAUAAGAAACAAAGAAAUAUAAGAUAUUCUUGAAAGUGGAAAAUAUAAAAUGGCUAACGAGUCAAAUUUAUGAUGCGUAAGGGGGAUCAUGUCACAUAAGAAAACCAUGGCAUACUAAAGACGUACGUGUGGUAUGGAGUAAUAAUUUUGUUAAAAUAAGUUUCUUGUUGGAGUACAUUAGGUGACUAUUCAUAACGUAUCAAAUUAAAGAGUCAAGUGCAUCAAUGAAGGCAUAUGUAGAAAAUUUGUUUGUGACAUGUACCAUAAAGAUAAGAUUGACUUGAUAGAAUUUAGUCUAAGUAGGAGUUGUUAAAGGUGUCUUAAAUUUCUAAUUGAUGUAUAUUUUUUUCUAAAAAAAUAUUAUAUAGAUAUUUUAAUAAAUGAUUAAUUCUUUGUAAAAAUACUUACAUAAUAAAAAACAUCAUUAAAAAUAUCUUUAUAAAUAUUUUAAGUUACAAGAAGGAAAAAAACCACUGUGAGAUAAUGAUGAACAUGCAACACUGUACCAAGUAAAUAAAAAUGUGAUAAAAAAAAAAGAGAAACACUCGAUAAAGGAAGGCUCGUAUAUAAAGAGUAAUAUUUUUAAUCAUAUGAUAGAAUGAUUUUCUCUCAUUCAUGAAUAUAGGCAAGAUUGGGGAACCAUUAUAAAAUUUUGUACACCUCGUGUAAAUUGAUGUUUGUCUUCAUAUUUUACACCAACAAAUGACAUUGAAGUUGUCAUUGAUAAAAGGGAAAAGGCAUGCCUCCACACCAUGUGCUUGAUUCGAAUGGUUCAAGUUUGAAGAAUUUUCUCCGGAAGAUCUAAAACAUUUUCGCCUUUAAAUUUCAUUUGAUUAUUAAUAUCCGAAAAAAUAGUUAAAUACUCUUUCUAUUUUUGAGUUGUUGAAUUUUUUGAAAGUUUUUAUAUUUGUUAUCAAGAAUUUCUAUUUUAUUAAGGGUGAAUAUUUAUAAAUAAGAUAUUAUAUAAUAUUUGGAUAAGAGAGAAUGGUGGAAUAUAAUAAAGUUUUAAUCCUUCCCAAUUUUGAACCUUUUUUUUUUUUUUUGAUAUAAUCGCCUUUCUCUUGCAAUCCUAUUAUCAGGUACCUUAUAUUUGCUGAUGCUAUCUGGAACUAAAUUCCAAUCAGGCAUUGUCCAAUUACUAAUAGGACAGAUCAUAUCUCUCUGUUUCUAAACUAACAUGUAUCGUAAUGUGACCUCAUAAGGAAGGCUAGGAAGAUGGAGGAUUUUGUGGGAAGCGACCAGAAUCAGAUGGAAGAGAGAUAGCCCUGUUGACCUAAUGGCUGUAAUAGGAGAAGCGUGUGGUUUUAUGGGACUUAACUGAUACUAAACCUGUAUGAUGCUUGGAGUGGUGUUUCUUUCAUUUUGUUAAGAAAAUAUGGCAGCAUACAUGCUUUCAACUGAGUGCAUCAGAGCAUCCAUAACAGAUGGUCUGCAACCCUAGGUGCAUGCCACUUUCUGACUGAUAAUGAAAUUGUCAGGUACCUGGCCUUGACUAAGCUCAACAGCAUCACAUAAAGAGAAGCUUUCAUACUUAGAUUACUGUUUAAAGUUUUUGCUUAUUUGAUUUCUUAAUGCCAUUAUGACAUUAUUGAUUCAAUUCUGCUUCCGAUUUUCGAAGUUCUGGGCAUCUACUGAUUGCAUCAUUAUAUGAGAAGUUGCAUGAGUUUAUGUAUCCUGUUAUUGUUCCUUUGCGAUUUCACUGCUCACGGGACUAACCUCUCCAUUCAGUCGAAAUGAAUUGUAAUUUCUUUACUGGUAGCAGUAGUACUUUUCAUAGCAAAGAUAAUAGAAAAUAUGAAAUAUAAAUAGAAGGAAAUCUGGAUUGUAGAUAGCACCAUAAGUAACACUCAAUAUUCACUACAUAAUAAAUAGACAGUGUUACAUAGGUAGAGAAACCUACAAUGAGUACUCAUCACCAUUCUCAAACAGAAACAUAGCAGCGACUUAUACAUAGAACCUAUAGGCUCGCAGGGAAAGAGUAACAUGAUAAGUUCACAGCGGGUAGCAGCUCUUAUUUUACGUAUUACUCAAAAUCUCAAACUAACCAAAGUCACUCAGUUGGGAUGGGUAGGAGAUGGUGGUUUGUGGGGUGGCUUCUGGGUAGGAGCUGGUGGCUUCUUUGUUGGAGUUGAAGGAGGCAUAUUCUUCUGAGGUGGCUUGUAUGACUCUUCGGCACUCUCUGCAGGAGGGUGCCCAGGGUUGUGACCAGAAGGAGGUGGCUUCUGUCCCUUUGGUGGUUUGCCUAAUGGGCUUGGUGGCUUGUGCUCCGGGAGUUGUUUCUCUCCCUCGAGUAGGUUUCGAGUUUUGUCAGAUGGCUUGUGUUCUGGUGGUGGCUUCUCUCCCUGGGGUGGUUUGCCGAAUGGGCUUGGUGGCUUGUGUUCGGGGAGUGGCUUCUCUCCCUGGAGAAGGUUACGAGUUUUGUCAGAUGGCUUUUGUUCUGGUGGCGGCUUCUCUCCCUGGGGUGGUUUGCCAAAUGGGCUUGGUGGCUUGUGUUCGGGAACUGGCUUCUCUCCCUUGGGAGGUUCAUUUGGUGGCUGGUGUUCCGUAGGUGGUUCCUUCACCGGCGGCUUGUGCUCCGGAAGCGGCUUCUCUACCUGGAGAAGCUUACGAGUUUUGUCAGAUGGCUUGUGUUGUGGUGGUGGCUUCUCUCCCGGGGGUGGUUUGCCAAAUGGACUUGGUGGCUUGUGUUCGGGGAGUGGCUUCUCUCCAUGGGGAGGUUUAGUUGGUGGUUGGUGUUGCGUAGGUGGUUUCUGAAGUGGGGGAUGCUUGGGGUAGUCAGCAAUAGACGAGGUAGUGAGAACCACCAGUCCCAACAGCAACACUAGCAAGGAUGUUGAAGACAUCUUUGAGUUCAGGCUGAGAUCUGUGCAAGGAUAAAAGAUUUAGGUGGCCUUUUAUAGAGGGCUGGACCCAACACCCAUAUGACACGUGUCAUGCACUCAUGGUGACACAUAAUUCUAUGGGACCAUUUGGGUCCUACAGAAGUUGCAAAGUUGGACUAUUGAGGUGUGAUCACAACUUUUGUCCUACUUGCUUUCUCUGCGGCCAUUGCACGAUUUCCUUUAGCAUCAUUUUCUUGUCUAAAUAAGCGUAUUAUAUUUGUGGCAGACCGUCCACGUGUCAUAAACAGAUAUAUUAUAAUAAUGUAGUAUGCUUUUCUUCAACGGAACUUGACACUCUUCUAAGUCUUGUUUUAAAUACUGUGCAGGAUUACGUCAUAAGUUGCUUGUUCCAAGUCAAAAUUGGUGGGCAAACGUUGGCCUUUUUUCAUUUUCCCUAAUAUUAAUGCUCACCUGGGAUAGGCACUACAUGAUUUAUCUGCUCUUUUACUGUGAAGUUGCUUUGUGCAUGAGUUACACCUCCCCUGCACACCCUCAACAUUUGUUGCUCUGUUUUUCUUGUGUCCAGACGAGGAUAUUAAUUGGAGGCUGACAAAACGACUGCUAGCCAAGGAUUUACAAGGUCCUGGUUUGAGGCUUUCACGAAAGUAUUUUUGAAAAGAUACACAUAGAGAUUGCGCGUUCGGUGCAAUGCAACAAUGUGAGCCAUUCUGAAGUCUUAAAUUUCAGAUUAAUGAAUGCUACAAAAUUCUAAGAAGGGCCGUUUCCAAAUAUUUGAGUUCAUUCAUCCGAACAUCGGGUAUAUGCUUCUUUCUCUAGCCCCUCCUUGAAGGGAGGAGGGACAAUGUGAUCUGUAUCGUUAGAAGCUAUUCCAUGUCGUCAUCUUUGGGCUCAGUUCAAUACUAAAAGAUAUGGGCGGGGCCCUUAUCAUUUUAUAUUUCUUCUAGAAGGUUUAUUCUGGAAAUCUUUCACAGAAACAUAUCUUUUUCUUCUCUACGUGAUCCGUGGUUUGAAAGUUGGAAAAAUGGGUCCGUUAACAAGCCACCGAGUUGAAAAGUUGGAAAAAUGGCAACACCGCCAACCUCUUGUAUUCGAUAGUUAAAUAAAAGGUCACUGGAAGUGAGAUCCCUUUUGGCCUCUUGAUUUUCAUUCCAGCAUCUCUAUGGCCUGAUAAAUUAAAAAACUAAAAAAAAAGACAGUACGUGGGUUGGUGUUAAGCAUCAAGAGUCAAGACAUGAUAAUGGAGAGAAAGGAUAUUCAAAUUCCAGUUCUGACAACAUGAUUUUCUUUGCUGAACUACCAUAUUAUAUUUGAUCAAGAAAGAGUAGUGCAUGUGGCCAGGAUCAAGACAUACAUUAAUUUCCACAUGAUGAAGACAGUUUCUGAGAGUUUCUUCUAAAGCUCUUGCGCGAGUAGGCUUCAAGUCAAAAUCUCCCAUGUAAACACUGGUUUUUCUUUCAUUGCCACUAAGGAUGCAGUUAAUAUUGACUUAAGAUCCUACGUGAUAUAUUUUUUUAAAAGAGCUAUAUUGUAGAUAAUAUUUGAAAUAAUGUUGAUUCGUUGUGGAAAUAUAUUUGUAAGGAAAGUUGUUGACAAUUUAAUAUAGUAUAAGAAGAAAAAAGUUAUCAACUAGCUAGAGAUGAGUAUGUAAAGUGAGGCUCACGAUUCAACGCGUAAAUAUAAGAUAUUUUAAGGCUCAAUAGUUAUGAUAUCUAUUUUAUUUUUUGUAUCUCAUAUAUUCAAAGAUAUAGUAAAAUGAUUUUACAUAUAUAUAUAUAUAUAUAUAUGAACAUAACUAUUUGUGCCAAUUGAUUUUUAUCUUUAUUUUGUAUAUUAGUAAUUAUAUUAAAGUUUUUACUAAUAUAAUAACUAAUAUAAAAGCUUUUUCUAAAAGAGUCAACAGAGCAAAACACUUAUUAUAAAAAAUAAUUUUGAUUGAAGGUGGAGUCAAUUAUUCUUUAUUUAACAUGUAAUGCAUACGGCGUGUACUUCAUAACUAAAGUAUAUAAGUGUAACAUCUCUUAUAUAUUCUCAUUCAAUCUCGAAAGUGGAAAUUUUAAAAAGAUUAAACGGUUCAAAUUUGUCGUGCAUAAAGGGGAUCAUGUCACAUAAGCAAACCAUGGCAUACCAAAGACAUAGGUAUGGACUAAGAAUUUUUUUCAAAUAAGUUUCUUAUUAGGGUACAUUAAUAGGUGACUUUUUAUGACAUAUCAAAGGAGUCAAGUGCACCAAUAAAAACAUAUAUAGAAAAUUCAUGCAUGACAUGUAUCACUAAGAGAAGAUUGACUUGAUAGAGUUUAAUCCAAAUAGGAGAUUGUUAAAAGGUGUCUCAAAUUCUUGAUUGAUAUAUAUUUUUUUUAUUAAAAAGGUUAUUAUAUAGAUAUUUCAAUAGACUAUUAAUUCUUUGUAAAAAUAGUUAUAUAAUGAGGAUGGUGAUUAAAAAUAUCUCUAUCAAUAUUUUGGAUUAUAAAAAGAAAAAAAAUGAGAUAAUGAUAAACAUAUAAAACUUGUACAAGUAGAUAAAGAUGUGAUGAAAGACACUUGAUGAAUGAAGGCUUUGUAUUUCAAGAUAUAAAUAUAUGGAGCAAAACUCUUAAUUAUAUGAUCAAAUGAUUCUCUCAUAUUCAUGAAUAUAAGCAGGAUUGGGGAACCAUGAUAGAAUCUUAUAUGCCUCUCCAUGUAGAGUGAUCGAUGUUUAUCUUCAUAUUUUACACCAGUGAAUGACAUUGAAACUCUUAUUGAUAAAAGGGAAAAGGCAUGGCCUCCACCCCAAGAAAAACAAGUAACCUCGGUUUAAAUCACUAGUCUACACCCCGAAGAGAGAACUAGCCAAACCUACUAAAAGAGAAACUUAACAAUUUAGAAAGAAACCGUCCAUGAUAAAGGGCCCCUAAAGGUCCAAUUCAGUGAGGUCGUGAACAAAAACACUUUCAUGUCAAAACAGAGAUAGGUACCACCAAAAUGUAAAGGGAAAGAUGUAAACCACGUCGAACUUUGGUAAUCAAUGGUAAAGAUAGCAUGAUAGCUAAAAGCACUAAAGCUGUGCUUGGUAUGCAAAAAUGAAAAGUGGAAAUCAGCGUCUUAUUCUUUUUCACCUUUAUUCACAUAUUAGGAUAACUAAUAUCUAAUGUUUUUUAUGUCUCAAAUUCUAUUCCAUGUUAUGGUAAACUUUCAUCUUGUUUAGAUCACUUUUGUCUGGUUUGGGCUCAAGACGAUAAGCCUAUAGAGACUUCAUAUUGGGUUGAAUCGAUGCCCUUGAUCUGAUCUGUUCGUUAGAAAAAUCUGAAUUAUUAUAAGCAUUUAGAUAAAAAAUAAAUAAAUGUGAAACACAAACUACUCCCUGCACAACCUUGACCCUAGUUACUCAGUUUCACUGCUCACAGGACUAACCUCUCCAUUCAGUCGAAAUGAAUUGUAACAAGAAGAUUUUUGACAGGAGGACGGUAGUUUAAAAUAAUAAUUUCUAAAGUACUUUUGUGAAAAAAAAUAAUUCCAAACGUGGAUUUUAUCAAGUAAAAAGAAAAAAAAAAGUUAUUUUCUUUUAAAAUCUGUUCUUCUAAAGAUGAUAUAUAUACCAAAAAAAAAAAUUGUUUUCUGAAGGUAAAAUUUUUAAAAUUCAUUUUUAAAAAAAUUUACACACUAAAAUUAUCUUUUCAAGAGAAGAUUUUUUUAAUUUUAAAUAAUUAUUAAUUUAUAAUUAAUUUGUUAUUAAUUAUUUAUUAAUUUUUUUAUUUGAAAAAUGCAUUUAUAAAAAACAAAUUUGUUAUUAAUUUAUUAAAUAAUUUUUACAAAAUAAAUAAUUUUUUUUUAUUUUAAUUUUAAAAUUAAUUUUAUUAUAUAAAUUUUAAAAUUAAAAAUAUUAAUAUUUAAUUUAAAAUUUAACUAUAAAAGGAAUAAAAUAUAGAAAAAUAAAUUAAUUUAUUAUUCAAUAAAUUAAUUUUCAAUAAAAUUUUCAGCAUUAAGAGAUAAAUUUUUAAGUAUUAAUCAAUUUAAAAAGAAAUAAUGAUCAUUUGUAUAUUAAGAUAUUUUAUUUAGUAAUUAUGAAUGAUAAACAACUAAAGUAAUUUGAAAAAAUAAUAAAAUAUUUAAAAAAUAAUAAUUUAAUACACGUAAAAUUAGAAAUGAUUAACUAUUUUUUAUUAAGAAAAAAUUGAGGAAAUAUUUUGUUAUUUAAAAUUUUUUAUUUGUUUUCAAUUUUUAAUGUUAUAGGUUUCAAGAAAAUUGAUCAAAUAAAAAUUAAGAAGUCAUUUUUUCAAAAACUAUAUAUCUAAAUAAAAGCCUUGAAAUUCAAAUACACAAUAUCAUAAAUAUAAACACCAAGUCAAUCCUUAAUUAUCAAAUGUUUUUAAUAUUAAAGAAUCAAAAUCACCUACUAUCAUGAUAAUAAGAAAACCAAUAAUAUUGUUCAUAUAAAUACUAAAAAGCUAACAAAUAUCCCAAACAAUUAAUAAAGUAUCAAACAUGAUAAAAAGUCAAUUAUUAUCAUGAAUGCAAAAAAUCAAUAAUUUUGUUUAUAUGAACCAUCAACAAAGAAAAAAAAAAUCAAUAUCUAAAUAUUAAACAUAAUUUAUAUUUUUAUAAAUAUUAUUGUUGAUAAAUAUCUUAACAAUUAUAAUUUUAGUAAAUAAAAUUAAUUAAUUUUAGUUUAAGAAUUAUUUUUUUAUACUUUCGUAUUCUUAUCAAAAAUCCCCAUUUUGCAUGUCUCCUUUGGCAUGACUUUCUUACCUAAACAAGCAUAUAUAUAUAUAUAUAUAUAUAAAAUAUUUGGUUAAGAAAGAGUACUAAAGUUUAUAUGGCACACAUCAAGAUAGAAACAGAAGUGGAAGAUAAUCCAAAUGUAUGAACAGAUAUAUUAUAUCCAUGUAGUGGUAGUGACUUCAUUAUUUACUUUUAUCUAAUGGAGCAUGACACACUUCUUCUGAAUAUUUUGCACGAUUAUGUUAUGUGUCAGCUUGUUCUAAGUCAAAACUAGUGAUAAAAAUCGGUUUUUUUUGCAUUUCCUUCAUGAAGAUGGCACCUGGAUGGGGCACUACAUGAGUGGCAUAGCACGAAGUGAUUUAUCUGCUCCCUUUACUAUAAAGUGCUUUGUGUAUAAGUUACACCUCCCCUGCACUGCCUCAACAUUUGUUGUUCUGUCUUCCGUCUGUCCAAACGAGGACAAACGUAUGUUGUAGGUUGACAAAACCACAGCUAGCCUAGGAUUUGCAAGGAUCUAGUUUGAUUCGUAUGCAAAAGGAUUGGUGAAAAGAUUCACAAAGAUAAUGCUUUUUGCAAUGCAAUCUUGUUCUAAUUCAACAGUGUGGACCAUUUUCAUGUAAUGCUUCAACUAGAUGUCAGUUUCAUGAAUUUUUGUUCAUCUAAUUGAUCACUGGAUAGGCCAUAACCCGAAGAAAUUCAAAAUUCCCUUCAGUACUGUAGCUAAGGAAAGAUCCCUAUCUACCACUGGGAUUUUAAGAGGGUAAAAAUGUAGGUGGGUGCCUAUAUCAUUUGCACUUCACUAUAGGCCUCUUUGGGAAGAUUUCUUCUGAAGACAUUUCAAAGAAACAUAUUUUUCUCUUCUCUCCGUAAACGGCAGCUGCAAGUCAGUCCAUUCACAGGCCACCGAGUUGAAAAGGCUGGAAAAUUGGCCAAAGCACCCGCCUCCUGGAUUCCAUGGGUAAGGAAAAGGUCACUGGAGGUGUGAUCCCUGUUGGCCUCUUGAUUUCCAUUCCGCCAUCUAUAUGACCUGAUAACCCAAAAACACAGAAGGAAAACGUCACCUGGGUUCAUAGUAAGCAUCAAGUCAUGAUAGAGACCAGACAACAUGACCAACAAAGAGUAGCGAAUGGGGCCAACAUCAAGCCCCAUUACGGUUAGAAGAUGGAAGAAGUAGAAGACAAUCCAAUUCUGAUAGAUUCGGGCAAAUGUAGUGCUGUUCAAACUUAAUCAUUUACUAUUUCUUCAUGAAUCACGGCAUUUUUCUUCUGAAAAUUUUCCAAGAUUAGGCCUCUGAAGAAAAAUUUCAUAUGUAAAUUGGUAUAUUAAGGAAAAGGCGUUACAAAGGUGAAAAAAAACCAAUCAAAUCUUAUAUAUGACAUCUCAAAAAUAUGAACUUGCUAUAAAUAUUUAAAAUCAAAAUCUUGCACAUCACCUCGUAGUACGAACUUGCUAUAAAACUUGAAAAUCAAGAAGAAAGGGGCAGUAUUGGACGAGACUACUUAGCACAUAUUAUUAUGAUGUUUUUUCAUUUUCUUAAUGUUGUUUUUAUGUCUUAAAUUCUAUUAUUCUAUGUUACGGUAAACAUUCAUCUUGUUUGUGUGGAAUAGGAUCACUUUUCUCUGGGUUGAGUCGAUGCCCUUAGUUAAUUUGUUCAUUUGAAUAAACUAAAUUAUUAUAAGUAUUUAGAUAAGAAAAACGUGAUACAUAAAUUACGCCUCUCGGCACAACUUCAACACUGGUUACUCUGUUUCAGUUUCCUCACACAAGAUUAUUGGUUCUAGGGUUUAUUUGGUUUUGGUUUGAUUCUAAUUGCUAAACUUUCUCAAGGAAGAUGUUAUAUAGGGAGUGAGAAACCUUCACUCUUGGCUACCUCCAAGAGAAGAGCAAGUGGUCUGAAUCAAAGAUAUACUGCUCACUUUUUCUUCUUCUAAGGACAGCUAUGACCUUGCUUUAAGGUUCGAAUAGCCUAAUGCAACCUCCCAUUUCUCAAGUCAGCUGAUGAUGUAAGUCACCUUGGCUUUCCACAUUCAUACGGUGAGGACGUUUGUGGGUGUAAUUCUCUUAACAGUUUUCAUUUUAUAUGGAAAAAUUCAUAAUUAAGGGUAAUUACUGAUUCCAUUUGACAGUGACCAAGUUUAAAAUAUUAAUUCAUAUAUUAAAUGCACAUUAAAAAAUCAUGGAAUAAAUAUAUUUACUAAUAUAUAGUUCUUUUGCCAUGUUCUGUCACAGAAGCAUCGAACUUUCCCUAGAAAUUUUUGCAUGGUAUUCUACUUAUGAUUUUGAAAACUCUAGGCACCUGAGGCCACUAAUUGCAUGGUUGGAUGAGGAGCUGCAUGAGAUUAUGUAUCGUGUUGUUCCUUAACUACAAAUAUCAGUUUUAAGUAGCAUCUCCAUGUGACAUUUUCCUGAUGCAAUUUCGCUGUCCACCAACAAAUUUCACCAUGCAGCAAGAUGAAUUGUAAUUUCUUUAUUGUUAUCAACAGCUUUAAUUAAUCUUGAUAUAUAUAUAUAACUUAGUAGAAGUAUAUUAAUCUAGAUUGUAGUUGCACUAAGAUAAUAGGCAAUAUUAUAACAGUGCCACAAUGCUCAUCGCCAAAUAGAAAGGUAGAAAAACUACAAUGAGUAACUCACAACAUUCUCAAACAGGACAUAGCGGCGACUGAUACAUAGAACACUAUUGGCACUCAGGAAAUGAUAAGAUCAGUGCCCAGCAGGCAGCACGUCUUAUUUUACAUACUACUUAAAACUAACCAAAGUCAUUCAGUUGGGAUGGGUGGGAGAUGGUGGUUUGUGCGGUGGCUUUUGGGUAGUUGGUGGCUUCUUUCCUGGAACUGAUGGUUUUUUUGUUGGAGUUGAAGGAGGCUUAAUCGUCUGAGGUGGCUUGUAUGAGUCUUCAGCACUCUCUGCGGGAGGGUGCCCAGGGUUGUGACCAUAAUGGGGUGGCUUCUCUCCCUUAGUUGGUUUGCCAAGUGGGCUGGCUGGCUUGUGCUCCGGGAGCGGCUUCUCUCCCUUAGGUGGUUUGCCAAAUGGGCUUGCUGGCUUGUGCUCUGGGAGCGGCUUCUCUCCCUCAAGAAGUUUACGGGUUUUGUCAGAUGGCUUGUGUUCUGGUGGUGGCUUCUCUCCUUGGGGUGGUUUGCCAAAUGGACUUGGUGGCUUGUGUUCGGGGAGUGGCUCCUCUCCCUUGGGAGGUUUAGUUGGUGGCUGGUGUUCCAUAGGUGGUUUCUCAACCGGGGGCUUGUUCUCCGUUGGUGGUUUAUGAACUGGGGGAUGCUUGGGGUAGUCAGCAAGAGACGGGGUGGUGAGAACCACCAGUCCCAGCAGCAACACUAGCAAGUAUGUGGAAGAGUACAUCUUUGAGUUCAGGCUGAGAUUUGUGCGAGACUUGAAGAAUUAGGUGGCCUUUUAUAGCUGGCUGCACCCAACACUCACAUGACACGUAUCAUGGUGACACAUGUGCUAUGGGUCCAUUUGGGUCCUACAGAAGCUGAAAACUUUUGACUAUUGAGGUGUGGUCACAACUUUUGUCCCUAUUGCUUUCUCCGCAACCGUUUUACAUGUUUCCUUUGGCAUAAUUUUCUAAGCUAAACAAGCAUAUAUCAUAUUUGGUUAAGAAAGAGUAAAGUGUAUAUGGCACACAUCAAGGAAGAGAAACAGAAAAAGUGGGAGACAAUCAAUUGUGAUAAACAGAUAUAUUAUAUUCAUGUAGUACUAGUGACUUUAUCAUUUACUUUUAUCCAAUAGAUCAUCACUCUUUCUUCUAAAUAUUUUGGAGGAUAAUGGUACAUGUUGCUUGUUUCCAAGUCAAAAUUGGUGGCAAAAAUCGGCAUGAUACGAAAGGAUUGGUGAAAAGAUUCACAUAGAUGGUGCUUUGUGCAAUGCAGUCUUGCUCUAAUUCAACAGAGUGGACCAUGGUGAUGUAUUUUAAAUUUUAAAUUUUAAAUUAAUGCAUGCUUCAAAGUUUUAACUAGAUGUCACUUCCAUGGAUUUUUGUUCAUUUAAUUGAGCACAGGAUAGGCUAUCAAACUUGAAGUAAUAUAAAAAUCCCUUCAUUACUGUAACUAAUGAAAGAUCAUUAUCUGCGCUUGGUAUUUUGCCAAGGUAUUUGCUGCUCUUUCUAGCCCUGUCUUACAGUUAAGGACAAUGUGAUCUAGUUAACCUUAGAAGCUAUUCCAUGUCAGAUACAAGAGAUCAAGCACAUUAUCUUUGGGCUCAGUUCAAAACUAUAAUAUAUGGGUGGGGUGGAGGCCCAUAUCAUUUGCAUAUCACCACUAUUGGUUUAGUUUGGAAGGUUUCUUCUGGAAGAUUGCUGCUUUCUGGAAUCAUUUCAAAGAAAUAUAUCUUUUUGUUCUCUUGGUGACGAGCAGCGGCAAUCAAGUCUGUUGACAAACAACCGAGUUGAAAAGUUUGAAAAUUGGUCACAGCCCACGUCCAUGGUUAAGGAAAAGGUCACUGGAAGUGAUCCCUUCUGGGCCUCUUGAUUUCCAUUCUGACAUCUAUAUGACCUGAUAAAUAGAAAGAAAAAAAAACAGAAGAAAAGCGGCACCCGGGUUCAUAGUAAGCAUCAAGACAGGAUACUGAAAGAAGGGAGAAAGGAGAUUGCAAGUCCAAUCCUGAUAAAAUGAUCAACAAAGAGUAUCAAAAUGGGGCCAACAUAAAGACCCAUUGAGGUUAGCAGAUGGCAUGGCAUUUUUCUCCUUAAGUUUUCCAUGAUUAGACUUGAAGUCAAAAUUUCACAUGUAAAUUUGUAUUUCUACAUUUCCCACUGACGACACCCAACUUCAACUUGAGUUAGAAUAACAUUGUGUGAACUUAUCUGGCCCUCAAAAUUUACUGUGAAGUGCUUUCUGCGUGUGAAGAUUCAGAAAAGCACCAAGGGAACAUGUAUGGUCUGCCUUUUUCUGAUGUUAUGUUUGUCUCUAAUUCUGUUCCAUGUCAUGGUAAAUGUUCACAUUGCUUGUAUGGAACACACCAGGAUCACUUUUUCGGGUUUAUUUUGAGGCUUCAUAUUGGGUUCAUAUUGGGUUCAAUGCUUUUAAUGUGUUCAUUAGACAAAUCUGAAUUAUCAUAUGCAUUUAGAUAAGAACAAUAAUGUGAAACCCUAGUUACACCUCCCCUGCAUAACCCCAACCCUGCUUACUCUAUUUCAGUUUACUCACACAAGUUUUACCGGUUCUUAUAAGUCAAGAAAAGGCAACUGAUGUUGGAUUGACUCUCUUCCAUGUAUAAAAAGCAACUUUUAUAUAUACAUAAAAUAACUUCUUCCCCUCACCAAUGUGGGAUAUCAUGGAUUUAUUCUGGAAACACAUCAAAGGAACAUCUUUUCUCUUGGGUGACCCUAAGUGGUGAGUCAGACCAUUUGCAUGCCAUUGAGUUGCACAGUUGGAUAAAUGCACCUACCUCCUGGGCUCCAGAGUUAAAAGGGUGGAUCCCUGGAUCGCAACCCUCUUGGCAUCUUGGUUUCCAUUCCAACAUCCACAUGACUUGACAAAACAAAAAACAGAAUAAAAUCAUCACUAUUUUCAUGCUAAGCACCAAUACAUGAUGGAAAUCAUUGCUUAAAGAUUUGGGGUCAUUUAGGUUUUGACUGCCUCCUAACACCUCACCUAAUCACAAGUUUUUAUGCUUACAAAUCAAAUAUCGUUCUUCAUUAUAUUAAAAUCAUUUUAAGAUUUCAGAUCCAUCUGCUAAUUAUGAUUAUGAUAACAUUAAUUCACCUGUGCUUCUCAUUUUCGACACACAAGGCAUCUAGGUUUGCAGGAUUUCCUUAUUAGAUGAGAUAAAUGAGUACGCAUGGUUAUGUAUGCAGCAUUCAUUAACCAUGGUAUGUGACAUUUAGAAUUAAGAUAGCAAGCAAACUUUCCCUGCAGCUUGAGUAAAUUGUGAUUUCUUAGCCUCUAUGAGUGGUUCCCAAAUCAAAUUAACAUAGUGAAAUAUACGUAGUCCAGUGAAAGGAAAUGUAAAUUAUAAACUAACAGCACUACACUACUGGUAACACUCGAUACUCUCUAUAUAAUGCAAUGAAAUAUACGUUAUACGUUGCUUGUUCCAAGUCAAAAUUUGUGGCCAAACGUUGGCCUUUUUUCAUUUUCCCUAAGAUUAAUGCUCACCUGGGAUAGGCACUACAUGAUUUAUCUGCUCUUUUACUGUAAAGUUGCUUUGUGUAUGAGUUACACCUCCCCUGCACACCCUCAACAUUUGUUGCUCUGUUUUCCUUGUGUCCAGACGAGGAUAUUAAGUGGGGGCUGACAAAACGACUGCUAGCCAAGGAUUUACAAGGUCCUGGUUUGACGCUUCCGCGAAAGUAUUUUUGAAAAUAUACACAUAGAGAUUGCGCGUUCGGUGCAAUGCAACAAUGUGAGCCAUUCUGAAGUUUUUAAUUUCAGAUUAAUGAAUGCUACAAAAUUCUAAGAAGGGCCGUUUCCAAAUAUUUGAGUUCAUUUAUCCGAACAUCGGAUAAGUAAUGAUCAUAGAUUAUUAUUAUUAUCUGACGUUCUUAUAAUGGUUGGCAUUAUAAGAGGGUAUAUGCUUCUUUCUCUAGCCCCUCCUUCAAGGGAGGGACAAUGUGAUCUGUAUCGUUAGAAGCUAUUCCAUGUCGUCAUCUUUUGGCUUAAGUCAAUACUAAAAUAUAUGGGCGGGGCCCCUGUCAUUUUAUAUUUCUUCUAGAAGGUUUGUUCUGGAAAUCUUUCACCGAAACAUAUCUUUUUCUUCUCUACGUGAUCCGUGGUUGGAAAGUUAGAAAAAUGGGUCCGUUCACAAGCCACCGAGUUGAAAAGUUGGAAAAAUGGCAACACCGCCAACCUCUUGUAUUCGAUAGUUAAAUAAAAGGUCACUGGAAGUGAGAUCCCUUUUGGCCUCUUGAUUUUCAUCCCAGCAUCUCUAUGUCCUGAUAAACUAAAAAACUAAAAAAAAAACAGUACGUGGGUUGGUGUUAAGCAUCAAGAGUCAAGACAUGAUAAUGGAGAGAAAGGAUAUUCAAAUUCCAGUUCUGACAACAUGAUUUUCUUUCCUGAACAACCAUGUUAUAUUUGAUCAAGAAAGAGUAGUGCAUGUGGCCAGGAUCAAGACAUACAUUAAUUUCCACAUGAUGAAGACAGUUUCUGAGAGUUUCUUCUAAAGCUCUUGCGCUAGUAGGCUUCAAGUCAAAAUUUCCCAUGUAAACACUGGAUUUUCUUUAAUUGCCACUAAGGAUACAGUUAAAAUUGACUUAAAAUCCUACGUGAUAUAUAUCUUUAACAAAAGUAUAUUGUAUAUAAUAUUUGAAAUAAUGUUGAUUCGUUGUGGAAAUAUGUUUGUAAGGAAAGUUGUUGACAAUUUAAUAUAGUAUAAGAAGAAAAAAGUUAUCAACUAGAGAUGAGUAUGUAAAGUGAGGCUCACGAUUCAACGCGUAAAUAUAAGAUAUUUUAAGGCUCAAUAGUUAUGAUAUCUAUUUUAUUUUUUGUAUCCCAUAUAUUCAAAGAUACAGUAAAAUGAUUUUAUAUAUAUGAACAUAGCCGAUAGUAUCAUGUUAAAACCUUAUAUGACUCUUUGUGCCAAUUGAUUUUUAUCUUUAUUUUGUGUAUUAGUAAUUAGUAUUAAAGUUUUUACUAACAUAAUAAUUGAUAUAAAAGCUUUUUCCAAAAGAGUCAAACAGAGCAAAACACUUAUUAUAAAAAGAAUUUUGAUUGAAGGUGGAGUCAAUUAUUCUUUAUUCAACAUGUGAUGCAUACAGCGGGUACUUCAUAACUAAAGUAUAUAAGUGCAACAUCUCUUAUACAUUCUCAUUCAAUCUCGAAAGUGGAAAAUUUUAAAAGAUUAAAUGGUUCAAAUUUUCCGUGCAUAAAGGGGAUCAUGUCACAUAACCAAACCAUGGCAUACCAAAGCCAUGAUAUGGACUAAGAAUUUUGUUAAAAUAAGUUUCUUAUUAGGGCACAUUAUGUGACUAUUUAUGACAUAUCAAAGGAGUCAAGUGCAUCAAUAAAGACAUAGAAAAUUCAUGCAUCACAUGUACCACUAAGAGAAAAUUGACUUGAUAGAGUUUAGUCCAAAUAGGAGAUUGUUAAAAGGUGCAUCAAAUUCUUGAUUGAUAUAUAUUUUUUUUAUUAGAAAGGUUAUUAUAUAGAUAUUUCAAUAGACUAUUAAUCCUUUGUAAAAAUAGUUAUAUAAUGAGGAUGGUGAUUAAAAAUAUCUCUAUCAAUAUUUUGGAUUAUAAAAAGAAAAAAAAUAUGAGAAAAUGAUAAACAUAUAAAACUUGUACAAGUAGAUAGAGAUGUGAUGAAAGACACUUGAUGAAUGGAGGCCUUGUAUUUCAAGAUGUAAAUAUAUGGAGCAAAACUCUUAAUUAUAUGAUCAAAUGAUUCUCUCAUAUUCAUGAACAUAAGCAGGAUUGGGGAACCAUGAUAGAAUCUUAUAUGCCUCUCCAUGUAGAUUGAUCGAUGUUUAUCUUCAUAUUUUACACCAAUGAAUGACAUUGAAACUCUGAUUGAUAAAAGGGAAAAAGCAUGGCCUCCACCACAAGAAAAACAAGUAACCUCGGUCUAAAUCACUAGUCUACACCCCGAAGAGAGAACUAGCCAAACCUACUAAAAGAGAAACUUACCAAUUUAGAAAGAAAUCUUCCAUGAUAAAGGGCCCCUAAAAGUCCAAUUCAGUCAGGUUGUGAACAAAAACACCUUCAUGUCAAAACAGGAAUAGGUACCACCAAAAUGUAAAGGGAAAGAUGUAAACCAAGUCGAACUUUGGUAAACAAUGGUAAAGAUAGCAUGAUAGCUAAAAGCACUAAAGCUGUGCUUGGUAUGCAAAAAUGAAAAGUGGAAAUCAGCGUCUUAUUCUUUUUCUCCUUUAUUCACAUAUUAGGAUAACUAAUAUCUAAUGUUUUUUUUAUGUCUCAAAUUCUAUUCCAUGUUAUGGUAAACUUUCAUCUUGUUUAAGUGGAAGAGUAGGAUCACUUUUGUCUGGUUUGGGCUCAAGACGAUAAGCCUAUAGAGACUUCAUAUUGGGUUGAAUUGAUGCCCUUGAUCCGAUCAGUUCGUUAGAAAAAUCUGAAUUAUUAUAAGCAUUUAGAUAAAAUAAAUAAAUAAAUGUGAAACAGAGACUAUUCUCUGCACAACCUUGACCCUAGUUACUCAGUUUCACUGCUCACGGGACUAACCUCUCCAUUCAGUCGAAAUGAAUUGUAAUUUCUUUACUGGUAGCAGUAGUACUUUUCAUAGCAAAGAUAAUAGUAAAUAUGAAAUAUAAAUAUAUAGAAGGAAAUCUGGAUUGUAGAUAGCACCAUAAGUAACACUCAAUAUUUACUACAUAAUAAAAGAGAUAGUGUUACAAAGGUAGAGAAACCUACAAUGAGUACUCAUCACCAUUCUCAAACAGAAACAUAGCAGUGACUUAUACAUAGAACCUAUAGGCUCGCAGGGAAAGAGUAACAUGAUAAGUGCACAGCGGGUAGCAGCUCUUAUUUUACGUAUUACUCAAAAUCUCAAACUAACCAAAGUCACUCAGUUGGGAUGGGUAGGAGAUGGUGGUUUGUGGGGUGGCUUCUGGGUAGGAGCUGGUGGCUUCUUUGUUGGAGUUGAAGGAGGCGUAAUCUUCUGAGGUGGCUUGUAUGAGUCUUUGGCACUCUCUGCAGGAGGGUGCCCAGGGUUGUGACCGGAAGGAGGUGGCUUCUGUCCCUUUGGUGGUUUGCCUAAUGGGCUUGGUGGCUUGUGCUCCGGGAGUUGUUUCUCUCCCUCGAGUAGGUUUCGAGUUUUGUCAGAUGGCUUGUGUUCUGGUGGUGGCUUCUCUCCCUGGGGUGGUUUGCCGAAUGGGCUUGGUGGCUUGUGUUCGGGGAGUGGCUUCUCUCCCUUGGCAGGUUCAGUUGGUGGCUGGUGCUCCGUAGGUGGUUUCUUCACCGCCGGCUUCUCUCCCUGGAGAAGGUUACGAGUUUUGUCAGAUGGCUUCUGUUCUGGUGGCGGCUUCUCUCCCUGGGGUGGUUUGCCAAAUGGGCUUGGUGGCUUGUGUUCGGGAACUGGCUUCUCUCCCUUGGCAGGUUCAGUUAGUGGCUGGUGUUCCGUAGGUGGUUUCUUCACCGGCGGCUUGUGCUCCGGAAGCGGCUUCUCUACCUGGAGAAGCUUACGAGUUUUGUCAGAUGGCUUGUGUUGUGGUGGUGGCUUCUCUCCCUGGGGUGGUUUGCCAAAUGGACUUGGUGGCUUGUGUUCGGGGAGUGGCUUCUCUCCAUUGGGAGGUUUAGUUGGUGGUUGGUGUUCCGUAGGUGGUUUCUGAAGUGGGGGAUGCUUGGGGUAGUCAGCAAGAGACGAGGUAGUGAGAACCACCAGUCCCAGCAGCAAUACUAGCAAGGAUGUGGAAGACAUCUUUGAGUUCAGGCUGAGAUUUGUGCAAGGCUAGAAGAAUUAGGUGGCCUUUUAUAGCGGGCUGGACCCAACAACCAAAUGACACGUAUCAUGAUACACAUAUGUGUUAUAAGAUCCUUGUGGGUCCUACAGAAGUUGAAAACUUUGACAAUUGAGGUGUGAUUACAACUUUUGUCCCUAUUGCUUUCUCGUCAGCCGUUUUGCAAGAUUUUUGACAGGAGGACGGUAGUUUAAAAUAAUAAUUUCUAAAGUACUUUUGUGAAAAAAAAUAAUUCCAAACGUGGAUUUUAUCAAGUAAAAAAAACAAAAAAAAGUUAUUUUCUUUUAAAAUCUUUUCUUCAUGAUUCAUAUACCAAAAAAAGAAUUGUUUUCUGUAGGUAAAAUUUUUAAAAUUCAUUUUUAAAAAAAAAAAAUUACACACUAAAAUUAUCUCUUCAAGAAAAUAUUUUUUAAAUUUUAAAUAAUUAUUAAUUUAUAAUUAAUUUUUUAUUAAUUAUUUAUUAAAUUUAUAUGUGAAAAAUGCAUUUAUAAAAAACAAAUUUUUUAUUAAUUUAUUAAAUAAUUAUUUACAAAAUAAAUAAUUUUGCUUUAUUUUAAUUUUAAAAUUAAUUUUAUUAUAUAAAUUUUAAAAUUAAAAAUAUUAAUAUUUAAUUUAAAAUUUAACUAUAAAAGGAAUAAAAUAUAGAAAAAUAAAUUAAUUUAUUAUUCAAUAAAUUAAUUUUCAAUAAAAUUUUCAGCAUUAAGAGAUAAAUUUUUAAGUAUUAAUCAAUUUAAAAAAUAAUAAUAAUCAUUUGUAUACUAAGAUAUUUUAUUUAGUAAUUAUGAAUGAUAAACAACUAAAGUAAUUUGAAAAAAUAAUAAAAUAUUUAAAAAUAAUAAUUUAAUACACUUAAAAUUAGAAAUGAUUAACUAUUUUUUAUUAAGAAAAAAUUGAAGAAAUAUUUUGUUAUUUAAAAUUUUUUAUUUGUUUUCAAUUUUAAAUGUUAUAGGUUUCAAGAAAAUUGAUCAAAUAAAAAUUAAGAAGUCAUUUUUUCAAAAACUAUAUAUCUAAAUAAAAGCCUUGAAAUUCAAAUACACAAUAUCAUAAAUAUAAACACCAAGUCAAUCCUUAAUUAUCAAAUGUUUUUAAUAUUAAAGAAUCAAAAUCACCUACUAUCAUGAUAAUAAGAAAACCAAUAAUAUUGUUCAUAUAAAUACUAAAAAGCUAACAAAUAUCCCAAACAAUUAAUAAAGUAUCAAACAUGAUAAAAAGUCAAUUAUUAUCAUGAAUGCAAAAAAUCAAUAAUUUUGUUUAUAUGAACCAUCAACAAAGAAAAAAAAAAUCAAUAUCUAAAUAUUAAACAUAAUUUAUAUUUUUAUAAAUAUUAUUGUUGAUAAAUAUCUUAAUAAUUAUAAUUUUUUAUAUAUUAAAUUUAGUAAAUAAAAUUAAUUAAUUUUAUAAUAUAAGAUAUAUAUAAUAAUUAAGAGACUAUUUGUCCCAAACAAUUUAUUUAUUUUUUUUUUAGGAAAUUGUCUCUUCAAGAGACGACUUCUCCCAACAUUUUUAAAAAAAAAAAAAAAAACAUCUAUUCAAAAGACGAUUUCUCCUCAUUUUUUAAAAAUGAAUUUUAGAAAUCAUAUUUUCAAAAAUGAAUUUUAGAAAUCAUAUUUUCAAAAGACGAUUUUUUUUUAUAUAAAUUAUUUUUUAAAAUGACGAUUUUAAAAGGAAAUAACGAUCUCUCUCCUACUUGGCAAAAACUAUGGUAAAUUUGGAAUUAUUUCUUCCACAACCAUAGUUUAAGAAUUAUUUUUUUAUACUUUCGUAGACUUAUCAAAAAUCCCUAUUUUGCAUGUCUCAUUUGGCAUGACUUUCUUACCUAAACAAGCAUAUAUAUAUAUAUAUAUAUAUAUAUCACUUUUGUCUGGGUUGAGUCAAUGCCCUUAACUAAUUUGUUCAUUUGAAUAGUCUAAAUUAUUAUAAGCUUUUAGUUAAGAAAAAUGUGAAACAUAAAUUACACCUCUCGGCACAACUUCGACACUGGUUACUCUGUUUCAGUUUAUUCACACAAGAUUAUUGGUUCUAGGGUUUAUUUGGUUUUGGUUUGAUUCUAAUUGCUAAACUUUCUCAAGGAAGAUGUUAUAUAGGGAGUGAGAAACCUUCACUCCUGGCUACCUCCAAGAGAAGAGCAAGUGGUCUGAAUCAAAGAUAUACUGCUCACUUUUUCUUCUUCUAAGGACAGCUAUGACCUUGCUUUAAAAUGUUCGAAUAGCCUAAUGCAACCUCCCAUUUCUCAAGUCAGCUGAUGAUGUAAGUCACCUUGGCUUUCCACAUUCAUACGGUGAGGACGUUUGUGGGUGUAAUUCUCUUAACAGUUUUCAUUUUAUAUGGAAAAAUUCAUAAUUAAGGGUAAUUACUGAUUCCAUUUGACAGUGACCAAGUUUAAAAUAUUAACUCAUGUAUUAAAUGCACAUUAAAAAAUCAUGGAAUAAAUAUAUUUACUAAUAUAUAGUUCUUUUGUCAUGUUCUGUCACAGAAGCAUCGAACUUUCCCUAGAAAUUUUUGCAUGGUAUUCUGCUUAUGAUUUUGAAAACUCUAGGCACCUAAGGCCACUGAUUGCAUGGUUGGAUGAGGAGCUGCAUGAGAUUAUGUAUCCUGUUGCUCCUUAACUACAAAUAUCAGUUUUAAGUAGCAUCUCCAUGUGACAUUUUCCUGAUGCAAUUUCGCUGUCCACCAACAAAUGUCUCCAUGCAGCUAGAUGAAUUGUAAUUUCUUUGUUGUUAUCAACAGCUUUAAUUAAUCUUGAUAUAUAUAUAACUUAGUAGAAGUAAUUAAUCUAGAUUGUAGUUGCACUAAGAUAAUAGGCAAUAUUAUAACAGUGCCACAAUGCUCAUCGCCAAAUAGAAAGGUAGAAAAACUACAAUGAGUAACUCACACAACAUUCUCAAACAGGACAUAGCGGCGACUGAUACAUAGAACACUAUUGGCACUCAGGAAAUGAUAAGAUCAGUGCCCAGCAGGCAGCACGUCUUAUUUUACAUACUACUUAAAACUAACCAAAGUCAUUCAGUUGGGAUGGGUGGGAGAUGGUGGUUUGUGCGGUGGCUUCUUUCCUGGAACUGGUGGUUUUUUUGUUGGAGUUGAAGGAGGCUUAAUCGUCUGAGGUGGCUUGUAUGAGUCUUCAGCACUCUCUGCAAGAGGGUGCCCAGGGUUGUGACCAUAAUGAGGUGGCUUCUCUCCCUUAGGUGGUUUGCCAAGUGGGCUGGCUGGCUUGUGCUCCGGGAGCGGCUUCUCUCCCUUAGGUGGUUUGCCAAAUGGGCUUGCUGGCUUGUGCUCUGGGAGCGGCUUCUCUCCCCCAAGAAGUUUGCGGGUUUUGUCAGAUGGCUUGUGUUCUGGUGGUGGCUUCUCUCCUUGGG